GCGCCGGCCGCGGCGGAGGGGUAGAGGGGGACCUCCUCACUCAGCUGAGUCGUCUUGACCGCCAUCUCUUCCCAGUCCACUGUCGGUCCAACUUCAGAAGUUCUGAUCUAAGUGUUAGGCUGGACCGUGCAACUAGCUUGGGAGUGCUGAUACCUUUUCUUUGGCUUUCUGGAGACCAUCCUUCCCCCACCUCUGAAGCUGUGCUGAAGGAAGAAGGAAGAGAGGUGUAGGCAGACCGUUUUUUUUUUUUUAAUACUUACCCAGUCUUAAGUGUGACACAGUAACCAUGUAUCACCCCAAAUUGUCAUCUUCCCACUUAAACAUAUUUUUACUUCAUCUGCCUCCUCCCUCGUCCUUCCUGGGAAGACAGAAAUACAUUUUGCCCAGCGUCUGUUAGCAGUUUUCUUGCACUGUAUUUUGUAAUCGUUAUAGCCAGCUGUUAGUGUUGGUGUUGCAGUUAGAGGUCUGGAAGAAUUUGAAACCUCCUCCGGUUUGGUCUUAGGACUCAUAGAAGCUGUGAAGCUUUCAGGGUUUGAGGUGUUUGGGGUGCUGUUGGAAGAGGAGCCCGGUAUAGUAUUGUGUAUAUGUCCUUUCCUCUCCAUUCAUUUCUGUUCUGGAUGUAACUUGCAUCUUUAACUUGUAAAAUCUAUUGUUCUCUUUUAUUUCUACUUGAAAGUGAGUGAGGGGAUUUGUUCAGGCUCUACCUCAAACAAUGAACAGAAAAAUGAAGACAUGUCACUAACUUCAUGAUCAUAAAAUGAAAGAAUUUCCCAAGCUCUGAUUGAGUCCUUCACACAAGAUAUGAGUUGUGGAGCUAAAACAACAACAGCAACAACAACAACAACAACAGCAACAAAAGACACAUUUAACAGAACUAGCUAAGAAAUGUACCUCUUCCUGUACGUUAUGAAAUAGGAAACUUUCAAAGAAAAUUAAUUGGACUAUUAAACAGAAGCUUAAUUUUCAUUCAUUGCAUUUUAAUUCCAUGAUUGCAUAUAAAAUUAUUGAGUAUAAAAUUGCCACGGUACUGAACUUAACAGUUCUCAUUUUUUAAGAGUUAAAAAUAUUAUGUACAGUGGUUUUGUGGUCAUUGUAAGGUGUUACCUUGUGCUACUUCCUGCUCAUAGAGGAAAAAAUAUGCCUCAUUUCCAAAGUAAAUGAUAAUGCAGUGUAUGUAACAAUAGUUAGUGAGAAUGUAAGUUUGAAGACUUUAUUUAGGCUUAGGCUUUUGAGAUAGGGUCUUCAUGUAGCUUAGCCUAUCCUCUAAACUGUUAUUCUCCAGCCUCAGGCUCCUCCUGGAUGUUGAGAUUAUAGGCUUUUCCCACUACACAUGGUCAGAAGGUUCAUUUCACUUUUUAACUCAAAAAAAAAAAUCUAGAUUAGGUAGAACAGAAAAUAAUUCCUUUAAAUAUUUUUCAUUUAUUUGUUUGUUUUUUAUUUUAUUUAAGUUAAUUACCUCCUCUCUCCACACCCAAGGUUUCUCACUGUGCUGCACUGACUGGCCUGGAACUUACUAGGUUGACCAGGCUAGCCUCAAACUCAUAGCUAUCCAUCCACCUACCUCAAGGAGUACUGGAAUUGGCGACAUGUGCCAAUAUCCCUGGUAGAAUCCCUUCCAUGUUAGUGUGUGUUUAUCUACCUCUGUCAGUGCGUUUACAUGUGUUUUCUUAGUACCACACCACAGUGCUUCUCUAGGUUUUGUUGUUGUUAUUGUUUUGUUUGUAAUAUUUGACCUGCAUGUCUGUGUGUUUACCACCUUGUGCCUGGCGCCCACAGAAGCCAGAAUAGGACAGCUAUCUGCUCCCCUGGGACUGGAAUUACAAACAGUUGUGAGCUGCCUUGUGGCUGUUGAGAAUCAAAUCUGGGCCUUUGAAAGAACAACCAGUGCUCUUAACCACUGAACCCCCAGGAAUGUUCUUUAUUGCAUUUAUUUUUUGUUUAUUUGUUUCCGUAGUUAUUAUACUUACCAUGACAAACAUGGAGGUCAGAGUACAGCUCUUGGAAGUUGGUGUUUUCUUUCCCAGGGUUUAAACUGAGUAGGUGCCUUUAACUGCUGAGCCAUCUUGCUAGCUCAACUAAAUAGUUGUUUAGUAUUCCUUAAGACUGAUUAAAUUCUGUAGCUACCUGUGUUAGGUUUGUGUAUAACUGUUGGGGCUAGUGUCUUGUCGCCUUGACACAAGCUAGAGGGGACACAAGUCAUCUGUGCAGAGGGGAUUUCAAUUGAGAACUCGCCCAAACCAUAUUGGUCUGCAGGCAGGUCUGUGGGAGCAUUGCCUUGAUGUGACUGCUGUGGGAGUGGUACCACCACUUGUUAGACGACCCUGAGUUAUAGUAAAAGCAAGACGAGCAAGCCGUGGGGAGCAAGACAGCAAGUAGCCUGUCUGCAUGGUUUCUGCUUCAGCUCCUGCCUUGGUUUCCCUCACAGAUGGACUGUGACUUGGAAAUGUAAGUCAAGAACCCCUCUCUUGACAAGUUUAUCUUGUCAGUGUUUUAUCACAGUGUUUAUGACAGCAGAGUAGAACAGUAACCUGUCAAAACAAAUCUUGUUGAUGCUUUUGAAUUGUUUGUAGGAAUUAAGCUUUUUAAGAGAAUAUAGAGGUUUGGCAGUGGUGGUUUCAAAUUCAUAUUAUCUCUGGGUGAGGUGUGCUCAGUAGUUAAGAGAACUUGGUGUUCUUGCUCAGGGAUGGAUUGCGUUUCCUAGCACCUGUGUUUUUAGCUCACAACUGCCUAUAAUUUCCAGUUUUAGGGGCUCUGACACCUGGUAUGGCCUCUGAGGGUACUGUAUUUAAAUAUACAAACCCAUACAUUUGUAGAACAUAAGUUAAAAAGACUGGUUAUCUGGCCUCAUCUGUGCACUAUCAUAGUUUGUAAUUUCAUACUACUUAGUUUGUAGUGAAUUAGUGUGAACAACUAGAGACCUUAACUUUGUAAGGAAAGAUGGGGGAAUACAAAUAGAUAAUUGAGAAGAUUUGGUCAAGUUGGUAAAAUCUGAAAAGAGUCCAGAAAAUUAUUUUAGUCUGUAUUUCUGUGUUUAGCUGUGUUGAAAUUGAAAAGAAAGCCAGAAGGAGCUUAAUUCUAUUGACACAGAAAAAUAGAUUGGAACAUUCUUUACUUUGAAUCUUAGCUUUCUUGGAAGACUUUCAAGAGACCAGAUAUGUGGUAGAGAUAAACUCAACCUGUUUAAAAUUUAAUGUGUAAUAUUCAAGCUAGAGCCAAACUACGGCUUGCUUGUCAAGCUCCUGUUGACUAGCAGAUGUUGGGACAGACAAAGUAGCAAAACUGUCCAGUGUUGGUACUCAGGGAAGACUUACUUGGUAUUCACUGGGUCCUAAACAUAAAAUCUUUAGCCUCGUUUAGCUUAAUAGUUUAGUUGGGAUGGGAACACGAUAGUGAAGAUAAUUAGCAGAUGAGCAGAGGCUUCUGAAGGAAAUGAGAAGUUAUAAGGCAUUGAUUCUAUUCAUAAGGAUUCCACCCUUUUAACCCAUCAAUUCUCAGAUGUACUAUCUCUUGGUCCUUAUCCCUUUGGGGAAUGGACUUGAACAGUCUCAUUUUAGAAGGACUCAAACAUUCAGAUUACAGAGUGACAGAGGAGCAUUCAGCCUGGGGGACAAGCAUUCAGGGAACAGAGUGAGUGCAAAGGUCUGGAUACAGGAGUGUGUUGAGAAUUUGAGGGAAUAGCAGCCAGUAUGGCCAGGGCUGAGUGCUGGAGAAUAAUGGGGGAUAGGAUCCAAGUCCUAGUGGUAAGGACAGAUCAUAGAGAGGCUUGUAGGCCAUUUUAAGGACAGUGAUUUUUACUCAUAAUUUAGUUGGGGAGUGAGAGUUGACCAGAUUUGAAGUAAAUUUCAAAACGGUCAUGUCUUUGUGCUAAGGAUAGUUUAUAAGGCAUUAGUUACUUAGAGAAAUAAUGGUAGUGUAGAAUGUAGCAUAGGCCUGGGUGGUAGAUGUGAUGCUGGUAUCAGAUUCUGGAUUUAGUUUGAUCAUAAAAUUGACAAUUUUACUCAGAUGGUGUGAUGGUUGGUUGGUUUUUUUUUUUUUCCCUUAAGUUUGAGAAAUUGCCUCCAUCAGUAUGGUCUGUAUGAAAGUCUUUGGGGCAUUUUCUUCAUAAAUGGUUGAUCUGAGAGGGCUCAGCGCCAUUCCUGGGCAUGUAUAAGGAUCCUUCGUUGUGUAAGAAAGCAGGCUGAGUGAGCCAUGGGAAGAAAGCCAGUUAGCGUUGUUCCUCCUCUGUGCUUCAGUUCUGCCUUAAGUUCGCUUCAUGGUGGAAUGUAAACUGUAAGGUAAAAUAAACUCUUCCCUCCCUAAGUUUAUCAUAGCAAUAGGAAAGCAAACAGAACAAGUGACUUAAAUGUGGACUCUAACAGAAGAGACAUUGAAGACAAUUCUAAAGACUAAGGAGGCAGUUGAACUCACUGAGUUUGGAAGCCUGGACAGGGACUCUGGUUGAGGGACAAUCAAGAGUUUGGUCACGCCAAGUUUGCCAUUUUUGUUAAGCACAGUGGGGGCUGGUGUGUAGCUAUCUGGAUAUUCAGGUCUGGAGUUCAGACAAAAAAGUGGACUAGGUGAUAAACUAGUUCUUGGUACUUAGAAGGUAACGAGAGACCAAUAACUGGAUGAGUUUACCCAAAAGAAUAAAUCUAAAAGACAAGGGAAGAGGUCUGGGAACUAAGCCGGAGAGAUGGUGACCAGGGAGAAGAAGAACCAGUGAGAGAGACAGGAAGAGACAAACCAAGAAAUGGCAUGUUUUUCAAGUCAAGUAGUGAAAUAUCUCCGAGAGGAAGACGUAAUCAGCGGAAUCAGAUGAGGAGUCAAAUAAGAAGGUUCUGAGCGUUGGCUGGACUUCAUCAGUGGGUUCAGGAGAGGAGAUGAGGAAGAAUGGAUGAUGGAAACUAGAUGAUUCUGGUUGCACCUUUCUUUUUUGGCUUCUUGUAUUUCCCUAAGCUGCGUGCUUGCAAAAAUGUCACUUUUAGAUUUUGGGUAAUUUUAAAAGUUACUUUGUUCUUUAGAACAGGUGAGUUUUGAGCUCUAGAGAUGGCUCAGCUGUUAAGGGCUAGGCUCACAACCAGAACUAUAAGAACAGGUGAAUUUUAUGGACACCUGUCAGACACCUCAGUCUAUACUGAAUGGAAUAGCAUUGAUGAAGCCAUGUGUUAGAACAAAAACUAAAUUGCAAUUCCCCAAACAAGUACUUUCUUGAUAGUUUUUAUUUAAAAAUAGGUCACAUCUAUAUGUCUUUUUUAAGGCCCCAGUAGAGCAAAGGUCCCUGUGCAUAUUUCAAGUUGAAAUUUAGGAAGCGACUUCAGAAGUCUGGAAGAGGCCGACUCUGGAACGCAUAUCAGCAUAAAGUCUGCUUUUAGAUGCUUUUUAAUUAAUUGUUCACAGGGCAUUCUGAUGUGGAUACUGCAUCUUUUCAGAGGAGAGUGGGCAGAACGAUGAAUGAUAUACCAUGUAGGGUGCAAGACAGCUGUUUGAGAUCUUACUUAAGUUCUAGACCCUAUGUAAUAUUUGUAUGUCAUCUCACAGUUCCUUGGACUCCUUUUAUUAUUAUGGAAUCAGUGGCAAUUCUAGCUUUUCUCCGUUUUAUUUUAUUUUUUGUUUUUGUAUUUAUCUUGUGAGACCAUAAUUUCUUUUAUACAAUACUUUGUAGAGUAUUGUAGCCAAGAAUAAAUACUUAAUUUUUUUUUAAAAUCUGGAUAUUCUCCAAUAGCUGUUACAUAUUCUCUCUGUGCCUAGCUGUGUCCUUGAAAGAAGAGCCAUUAACUGGCCUUCUUAAGCCCUAACACUUAAAAAAUGAAGAUGUCUUUUAUAGUGGACUGGUGAAUCUGCACUUCUGUUCUCAGUUAUAUCUAAUUAUUUGUGUUGUGAAGUCAUUGUGCUUGUGAUGCUUGUAUGUAAUUUAAUCUCCUUUGAUUAAUUACUUAAUUUAUUUAUCCACUUUACAUCCUGAUCACAACCCCUCUCUCCUAUCCUCCCAUUCCCAUCCUCUCACCCUUUCCCCCAUUCUCCCCUUCCCUUCUCUUCAGAGAAAGGGAAGCCCUUCUGUGGGUACCAACCGGCCCAGGCACAUCAAGUCUAAGUAGACUAAGCACAUACUCUCACACUGAGGCCGGGCAAGGCAGCCCAGCUGUGGGAAAAGGAUCCCAAGGUGGGCACAAAGUCAGAGACAGCCCCCGCUCCAAUGGGUAGGGGACCCACCUGAAGACCAAGCUGCACAUCUGCUACAUAUGUGCAGGGGGUUAGGUCCAUCCCAUGCAUGUUCUUUGGUUGGUGGUUUAGUCUCUGUGAGCCCCCAUGGGCCCAGGCUGUGUGGUUCGAUCUUUAAGCAUGUAUUCCCUUGUAAAUUUGUUGUGUACUUAGCCUCUUCCUUUUUAUUAGGAAUCUGAAGUUAUUUCUCCAUUUGGAGGGAGAGAGUAAUGCAGGUUCUAGAAUGGCAGAUUAUCCUUCAGUCCUAUCUCUUAUGUUGUCAUAUCAUGUGUGGACUUAGAGGUGGACAAACGCUUAUCUAAUUAUAUACAGCUUUGAAUCAGUUUUGAUUAUUAGGAUUUGUUUACUUUAUGUACAAAAGGCUUAGUGUAGUUUAGUGAGGAUUGCCUAAGCACAAUUUGUAGGGAAAGGCAAGUCUGUUGCAGAAAUUUUCUCACAUGUAACCUGGAGUUGGUAGUACAGAAACCUUUUAGCUGUCUUUUCUGGUGUUCUGGAUCUUUUUCAGUGCUAAUCAGUAAAGCACUCAGAUAUCUUAUUACAUUGAGUUGGGAAAGUAAUAUUAGCUUCUAUAUGUACAGUUACUCGUAGAGGUCUAUUUUAACAUCUUACUGAAUAGCUUAAUACCUUAUCCAAUGAUUAAUGUGGUAGAUUUCAAAAUCCCACUUUUCUGAGGUUCAGAGUGAAUAAAUUAUAGGAUGGAAGUAAGAGUAGAUAUUUGGUUUGAUGGUCAGUGAGGGGAGAGUAUUUGUGGCAGUUAAAAGUAACAAGUGCUUUUAUAAGAUGCCUGUUAUCAAUAUUAAGUGGCUCCCAGAUUUUUUAGGUUUUCUAUCAGUGAGUGAAUCAUUGUGUAAACUGUUACUAUAACAUCUUAUAAAUGUUUUCCUGAGACAGGCUUAUUGGGUAUAUUUGGAUAGUAAUAUGCCAGCAAAUUUGCCUAUAAUUAAAACUGUUCUAUUUUUUUAUAGUGUGACUAGGUAGAGGAAUGGAGUUAGAAUAAAGAAAGACUUCUAAUUGUGAGAAGUAGGACCUUGAAUGCUGUUACAAUAAAGCUAUAAUUGGGCUGGAGAGAUGGCUUAGUGGUUAAGAGCACUGACUGCUCUUCCAGAGGUCCUGUGUUUGAUCCCCAGCAACCAUAUGGUGGCUCACAACCAUCUGUAAUGGGAUCUGAUGCCCUCUUCUGGUGUGUCUGAAGAGAACAACAGUGUGCUCACAUACAUAAAAAUAAUAAAAUAAAUAAAGCUAUAAUCAUAUGUAUUUGCAGAAAGCAGUCUUUACUGUCAUAAAGCGUCUAAUUGUGAAAUAUGGGUCCUAUAUAAAUGAAUGUAAAAUAUUUCACUGUGUUUCGAAUAACAUAAUAUCUUAAGUACUGAAUAGUUGGAUUUUUAUGGUAUUACACUUAUUGAUGGAAAUGGGAAGUUGACUAUUAAGACUUAAAUUUCAAAUUUAAUCUAGAAGUUAUAUUUUAUUCUUUAUCUUAUUGAAUACUAAAUUAAGUAAAGUUGGGGCCAUUUACUUUUUCAAUAAGUAUUCCUGUUUACUACCACCUAGUAGCUGGAAUCUUAUAUGUAAUCAGGCAUAUUACAAAAGCAAGGCAAGCCACACUCUGCACCUUUGCUUAGAAAAUGUGCGUAGAACAGUAUGCUCCAUUAGUAAAUGCAUGUCUGUUUUGUUGCUAAUAAGGCAGCAGCUGUUAAGCUGUGUGCGGUCAGCUAAUAGAAUUGAGUCAACACUAAGCUGAGUCUAAGAUUAAGAAUAAAACAGUUCCAUCCAUUUGCCUACGAAUUUCAUAAAGUCGUUGUUUUUGAUAGCUGAGUAAUAUUCCAUUGUGUAGAUGUACCACAUUUUCUGUAUCCAUUCCUCUGUUGAAGGGCAUCUGGGUUCUUUCCAGCUUCUGGCUAUUAUAAAUAAGGCUGCUAUGAACAUAGUGGAGCAUGUGUCUUUUCAUAGGCAAAUGGUUGGAAAUGGAAAAUAUCACCCUGAGUGAGGUAACCCAAUCACAGAAAAACACACAUGGUAUGCACUCAUUGAUAAGUGGCUAUUAGCCCAAAUGCUUGAAUUACCCUAGAUGCAUAGAACACAGGAAACUCAAGACGGAUGAUCAAAAUGCGAAUGCUUCACUCCUUCUUAAAAGGGGAACAAGAAUACCCUUGGCAGGGAAUAGAGAGGCAAAGAUUAAAACAGAGACUGAAGGAACACCUUCAGAGCCUGCCCCACAUGUGGCCCAUACAUAUACAGCCACCCAAUUAAACAAGAUGGAUGAAGCAAAGAAGUGCAGGCUGACAGGAGCCGGAUGUAGAUCUCUCCUGAGAGACACAGCCAGAAUACAGCAAAUACAGAGGUGAAUGCCAGCAGCAAAGCACUGAACUGAGAACAGGACCCCCGUUGAAGGAAUCAGAGAAAGAACUGGAAAGCUUGAAGGGGCUCGAGACCCCAUAUGAACAACAAUGCCAAGCAACCAGAGCUUCCAGGGACUAAGCCACUACCUAAAGACUAUACAUGGACUGACCCUGGACUCUGACCUCAUAGGUAGCAAUGAAUAUCCUAGUAAGAGCACCAGUGGAAGGGGAAGCCCUGGGUCCUGCUAAGACUGAACCCCCAGUGAACGUGAUUGUUGGGGGGAGAGCGGCAAUGGGGGGAGGAUGGGGAGGGGAACACCCAUAAAGAAGGGAAGGGGGAGGGGUUAGGGGGAUGUUGGCCUGGAAACCGGGAAAGGGAAUAACACUCGAAAUGUAAAUAAGAAAUACUCAAGUUAAUUAAAAAAAAAAAAAAGAAUAAAACAAAGGACAUGGAGUAUUUGAAUGCCAAUGGUAACAAGACAUUCUAAAAGGGAAUGAUUUCUUCAGAAAAACAAAUUCAGGGAUAUAUACAACUCCUGACUAUAAAAGGCAUAAGAAUUUUAAAAAGCCGUGUGGUGUCAUACUCUGUUGUGUAUUGUGAACAUUAAGACCAAAGGAAGAGCAUCAGCAUUGUCAUUUAAUGGACCAUGGGGAAGGCCGAAGGUUCAAAACUAUGCCAGCUAAGAAAGAAAGUGUUAGCCAGUCUUUUAGAAUUUGAUUCAUUCCACCACUGAGAAAAGUCAUGUUCAGGAGGGCAUUCCAUGGUCUAUUGCAUUUGUGUAUUACCAGAAACCUUUCACUUUUUGAAAUUUAGAGCUUGCAAAUUUUAUCAGCAGUUAUUUUCAUUGACCAUGCAUUUAUUUAAAAGACUAGCACUUGGGAGGCAGAGGCAGGCAGAUCUGUGAAUAUGAGGCCAGCCUGGUCUAUAGAGUGAGUUACAGGACAGCCAGGGCUACUCAGAGAAAUCCUGUCUUGAAAAACACUCUCUCUCUCUUCCUCUCUCUCUCUCUCUCUCUCUCUCUCUCUCUCUCUCUCUCUCUCUGUGUGUGUGUGUGUGUGUGUGUGUGUGUGUGUAAAACAAAUAAAUAAAAUAUUAGUAUUUGUUUGGGGUGUAGUGACACAUAUAGGUAAUUCUAGCACGUGGGAAGCAGAAGUUGGAGAAUUCUUUCAAACUUAAGGCCAGCCUAGUCUACACAGUGAGUAGGGCUAUCCAGGGCUACAAAGCAAAACCAUUUCUUUAUAUAUAUUUACACAGACAUACACACACACACACAGACACACACACUCACUCACACACACACACACACACCCCUAUAUACAUAUACACAUACACAUACAUAUUGGCUUUUUUUUUUUUUUUUUUUUUUUGGUUCAUUUUUUCGGAGCUGGGGACCGAACCCAGGGCCUUGCGCUUCCUAGGUAAGCGCUCUACCACUGAGCUAAAUCCUCAGCCCCACAUAUUGGCUUUUAAAUGGUGUUUUGCAUUUACAGUUGAUGAUGAGUUGAUUUAUGAGCCUUAAAGGGUAAUAAUAAUGUAGAAAAGCCAGAAGUUCUAACUUUUCUAGUAGUUAGUUAUCUAUUAUUUUUGUCUGAAUCUUUUCUUUACACUAAAGCUGGAAAUUGUGAUUUUUUUAAAAGAAAAAGAUUCUUAUUUUUUGUAGUUAGUUGUAUCUUACAAUAUUUUUGUGUAGGUCUUUUAUUUUUACAGUAGGAAGUAGACUUCCUGGUCUAAGUAAAGCAUACUUAUGUAAAUAUUUGAUGAAGUACAAGUGAGUACCAUUCUGUGAUUUUCAUAAUAGUUUUAUGGAAUUAAUGUGACUUUUGGUAUCUCGCUGUUAGAUGUAUUUUACAUUAAUUUAUGUUGAUUUUGAACAUGGUUAUGAUUGUGAAAAGCUUCAGUUUUCAAUAGUAUUGACAUUUUUAAAAACAAGUACCAAGAGUUAUGGUUUGAAUCGUCUUCAAAGGCUGUAGCACACUCUCCAGAUUACCUUCCUUGUAAGUACAUCUUUAGGUUGCUUCGAUGUGUGGCAGUAGUUAAGAGUCAUUUGGGGUCACACUUGAUGAAGAGAUUUGAAUGUAGAGCAAGCAGUCUACCAGCAGGCCGUGUCUUCAGCCCCUGUUAAUAACCUUUUCAUGGCGGGCAUGGUGCCCACAUCUGUGAUCCAGCAGCACUCAGGAAGAUCACUAGUUCAAAACCAGCCUAGCUUCCAUGGCAAGGUCAAGGCCAUCCUAAGCUGAGUAGCGAAACCUCAUCUCAAAAAAAGAAUAGAGCUAACUGCACUCUGUGGUAGAGCAUUUGCCUAGCACAUGCAAAGCCUUAUAAGGUAAAAGAAUGUAUUAGAGUGACUAACCUUUAUGAAAAAUUAUGAAAAAUGUAUACAUACAAAUAUUAAAAGUAAUGGAGUAAUAUCUCCAUCUUGUGGUCUUUUUUGGAUAUUGCCAUUAAAAAUGUUAAGGGGUUGUAUUUUCACAAUUGUAGUCAUAAGUAAGACUACAGUGUGAGCUAGGUGAAAAUAAGAGUCAGAUUUCCUGCAGUAUUCUUUGGGACCCUUAAACUGAGCUUCCCGAUUAGCUCACUGGAUGUGAGUGUACUGAGAUAGUAAUUCUUGCCCCAGGCAGUCCUGUGCUUGUGCUUCCCCAGGCCUGCCUUAUGAAUACAGCCUGCUGGGAAGCACCUUGAUCUGUGUGUGGUCCUGACAGGAAAUAGAUUAAACAGAAAUGUCCUUCACACUAGGCUUAUCAAAACCUUUGUAAACCAAAGGCGUUAACAUCAGCCGGGGAUCAAGCCAAAGGAAGAGCCAAAGUUUUUGCAUUAAUGUUAUUCAGUUUCUUGAUUACUUCUUUAGACAGCAGAAUAAUGGCUAAAUGUUAUCUGUCUGCAGUAACUCAGAGGAAUACAGUUCAGCCACAGAUAAGAAACUCAUGUACUUAAUAUUUGGCAAAAGUGCAUGCAUAGUGAAUAUGUACAGACUUUUUGUUAUUUUCGUAAAUGAUACAGUGUAUCUGUCUGUGGUAUUUAUAUUGUGUACAAUAUUAUAAUUAAUUUGAGGAUGAUUUAAAUAUUCUUAUAUGUAAUAAGUGUUUUGUCUGCAUGUAUGUCUGGACACCACAUGUGUGCUUGGUACCUGUGGAGCCCAGAAGAGGGUGUCAGAUAAGAGUUAUAGCUGGUAGUGAAUUGCCAUGUGGGUGCCGGGAACCAAAACCCAGUCUUCUGUGAGAGCAGCUGGUGGUUUUUACAGCUGAGCCCUAACUAUCUUCAGCCCCUCUCAAGAAAACACAGAGUGUUGUAUACAAAUACCACUUCAUUUCAUACAGGGCACUUGAGCACCCACCAUUGAGAUGUCCAGGGUACUGGAACCAGAAUGACAGACCUUCAUUUACCAUUGCAUUUACCUUAUGAAGAGACAAACAAGUUUGUAGCAUAUAAAAUAUACUGAUCCUGAGUAGCUUAAAGUAAUGUUUUAUUUUUUUACUUUUAAAAAUAACUUUUAUUGGUUCUUUGUGAAUUUCACAUGUGCACCCAAUUCCAUUCAUUUCCCAGUUCCAUCCUACCCACAUCCUCAUCCUUACAACUUCCUCUCCUAAAAAAAGUCUUGUGGAAGCUGUAGUGUGCCACAGUGUGUCCUAGAGUACACCCUUUUGUCCACACCUCUUUGCUUGCAAUGUUCACUGCAGUCCGUCAUUGGUGUGGUUUGAGGCUGCUGGCUUCUGGUACACUCAGUACUGGAUAGUGUAGUGAGGACUGGGACUCCUCUCGGUUAUCCUGCUGCUGUACUGGGUCAUGGAGAUCCUGUAGUUUUGGACUUCAUGCACUCCAGCAGUUCAUCGAUGGGGUAGAUGUCGGGGUGGACUACCUCAAAGUCCUGGAUCUGGGCCUGAGAGGUAUCAGAGAUAGAUGGUCAGCCUGCCACCUGUCACACAUGCACACCACCUGGUCAAGCUUUCCCUACCCAGCUACCUCAUCCAGUGUCAUAGCCAGCAAGGGGCAGCGCUAACUCUUCAGCUCUCAGUUAGGCUGCACCCACACCACCAGGGCCAGCUCUACUGUGCUGUCUAGGAGAGAUGCAGGGCAGUGUUGGGGCAGGCAAGGGGCUAGGCUAGGUCUCCUGCUCUCCUGCUCUCAAGGCUGGCUCACUUGUACUCCCCUCCCCCACCAGGGCAAACUCUACUUUGCUGCCCAGGUGUAGGGUAUGUUCUCCUGUGCGUUGCAACAGGUGAGGGACAGGGCCAGUUCUCCACUCUCAUGACCCCCAGCAGCUUUCCCACCUGCCCUAGAUGGCAAGGGAGGAGGGCAGCUCUCUCUUGUCUACCGGUUGCACAGCAGAUGAGUUGUGGGGCCAGCUCUCCCAUGCUCCCUGGGCCCUCAUUACCAGGAUCUGCUAUACUGUGCUCCCCAGGCAAGGUGUAGGGCCUAUUCUCCAGAGUUCUGUAGCAGGUGAGGGGUAGGACCAUCUCUUCUGCUCUGAUGACUGCACAGCUGACAAGAACCAGCUCUCCAGGCCACACUUCUAGGGCCAGCUCACUGGCAGCCCCUACAUCCAGGGCCAGGUCUACUGUGCUGCCCAGGUGAAGUACAGAGAUCACAUUCUUAACUGUGUUUCAAAUGCUACCUUCUCGGCACAGAACCAUUAUGUUAAGUAUGUCAGUCACAGGAGCACAUAGUGUAUUUGGAAAGAAAAAGCUAAUCUCAAAAUAAAGAAUAGAAUGCUUGUUUCUGUAGCCUGGAAACAAUAUAGGAGAAAAGAGAUGGAGAAGCAGUAGAUGACAGGUGUAAGAUAUAGUUGGAUGGAGUAAUUUCUCAUGUUCUCAUGCAGUAUUAAGGAUGACUGACAGCAGUUGGUUUCAAAGUAGCUAGUAGGAAAGAAUUUAAAUUUCUAGCAUAAGAAAAUAGCAUAUGAAUGAGGUGAUAGAUAUGCCAGUUACCUUAAUCCAUAUUACCACACAUUAGAUACAUAUGUGUUGAAGUGCCCUGCUGAGUCCCAUAAGUAACUACAAUUAUUAGCUGUCAAUAAAAGUGUAUUAAAACCAUUUAAAAAUAGUACCCAGACUUGAUGACAGAAGCCUGUAAUCUCAGCUACUUGGGAAGCUGCAGCAAAUUAAAGGCCUACCUAGACUACAGAGAGAAUUCAGGACCAGCCCGGGCAACUUAUUGAGUCCUACCUCAAGAAGUAAAAAGUAGGUUGGAGAUGUAGCUGAGAGACAGAGCAUUUCCUAAUGUGCUCGAGGCUCUGCAUCACAAAAACAAACAAAAAUAAGUACUACUUAUUCUUAAAGCUCACUCUAAACUUAAUCCUAGCAGGGCACUUCAAUACAUAUAAGGUUUUCUCUAUUAGCUAUUUUAUCCAGAUAUGGCCACUCUCAACUCCAUGGCAGUUUGGGGUAGGGGUGCUGGGAAUGGAACCUAGGGCUUCAGAUACACUGACAUCACGUUCUGUGACUGAGCUGUAUACACUGCAGUCCCAGGGCAAAGAUGUUACAGGUCUUUAAAAUUAUGUAUAUAUGAGUGUUUACCUGUAUGUAUGUAUGUACAUCAUAUGUGCGCGUAUGUUGCUCCCACAGGGGCCAGAAAAGGGCAUUAUACCUUCAGGAAUUGGAGUUCUAGACAGUUGUGAGCCACCGUGUGGAUGCUGCGAACUGAACCUGGGCUCUCUGACCAGGUCCUCUCUCCAGCCCCAACAGAUACUCCUUUGUAGUUUACUCAAUAUGGUAUAUAAUUGAUAUAUGGUAUAUAAUUGAUAUAUAGCAAGUAAAUAGAACAUAGAAUUUUGGUUUAGAAUACACUAUCUAGUUUCCACACCAGAAAUGAAAAAGAUGAGAAUACUAAUAGGAAAUUGUAAUUCUGUAGUUUGCUUAAGAAAUCAAUUGCUCAAGUAUAAAAUGAGAAGAUCUGGUUUGACCUUAAUGGAAAUAAAUGCCAUUUUAUUUGAUUACAUGUUGAAUUGGGACAACUGUUUGUCUUUGCUUUUUAAAGAAAAAUCUGUCUGUAAUUUAUAUUAAUAAACAUUUGAAAAAAGAAAUGUAAUGCAUUCUGUGUUAGCAGGUUAUGAACAAUCUUGGUGGCACCCUUUAAGAGGGACAGUAGCAAACUGAGUUUUAAGCAGGUAGCUACGAGUGACCUAGAGAUUCUGAGACAGUUUUCAAGAGGAACAUACUGAGUAUGAAAGGAACGGUAAAGGAGACAUGAUCACGGCACUCAGCUGUCAGUUUGAAGCUGCACGAGGAGGGUUCAUGCUUGCACUCCCUGCACUUAGCCUGGGGAAGGGAGGAUCCCUGCACACUGGCAGUCAGCUCGAGCUAUGUAGUAAUGCCCUGUCUGAAACAAACACACACCAGCUAGUUUUUAAAACAUACUCUAACUCAAUUUUACUUAGACCUUUUCAUUCUGAUAUAAUUUUUCAGCCAGUAAAAAUGCAGCAACAACAACAACAACAACAUUUCUUCAGUGAGGAGGUCGAUGGCUCAUUGGGUAAAGUGCUUGGCGCACAAGUGUGGGGAUAUGAGUUUAAAUCCACAUACAUGUAAACACACUGCGUUUAAUCGCAGCUCUUAACUGAGGUGGGGAUGGGGACAAGAGAACCUCCCACAGGCUUACGUAUGGGCCUGAAGUAUGGUACAGUACAUAGAGGGACACCUACCUUAUUCUCUGGUGUUCACGUGUACACUUUGGAACGUGUGCUCCUGUACUCCUACAUAUACAUACACACACUAAAAGAUAAAAGGGAUAAUAUAACUUAUAUAUUUUUCACCCCAGAUUUUCCCACUCUCUUUUUCAGCACCAGGAAGUUAACUCUGACACAGUUUGUCAGCCUACCUGUAAAUCUUUUUCCUAACUAAAAUUUAUUUUAUUUUUAAUUAUGCAUACGAUGGGGAGAGGUGCAUUGCAUAUGAGCGGCAGUGCCUGUGGAGGCCAGAGACUUCGUGUCACCCUGGAAUUGGAGUCCCAGGUGGUGGCAGCAGGCCAGGAUAGGUGCAGUCUAACUGGAGUCCUCUCCAGUCGCUGCCGUGUCUGCACAGCUGCCCACGGUUUUAUCAGUGCUCCUGCUGACUUCCUGUUUCUGAUUCACAGUCACACAAUUAGUUUCUCAUCUCCUUAGUAUCUUCUGCUCUAGGGUGUUCUCUCUUUUCUUUUUUGACUUUCAUACUUUUUAGGAAUAUUGAAGAGCUUUUAGUUGGAGAUUCUCUAAAAAUUUCUCAUGACCCAGUCAUGGUGGCACAUACCUAUACUAUAGUCCCCCUUGAAAACUGAGACAGGAUCACUUGAGCUCAGUAAUUUGAGGCCAACAUGGCAGCAUAGCAAGACUAGAAAGAAAGGAAAGAAAGAGGGCAAGUGGACACAAAGGGGAAAAACAAGAAAACAUGUACUUUCUUUUUGAUUAAAUUCACACUGGACAUGAUCAUCAUAGAUGGCAUAGAAUUGAUAUGUCUCUCACCACAUUAUGAGGCACCUGGAUUUCCACUGCCCUAGUCCUCACAUCACUCAUUUUGGAAGAGCUCUUUUUUAUUUUUAAUUGAAAAGUGUUUUGCUUUGAUGCAAAAAUAUAACUGCUGAACAAGCUGGUUACAUUCUGUACAGUUGGACGUGGUGGCACUGCCUGUGUCUUAGCUCAGCACUCAGGAGGUGGAGGCAGGUGGAGCUUUGUGAGCUCAAGGCCAGUUGUUAACAUAGUGAGUUCCUUCCUGGUCAGUCAGAGUUACGCAGUGAGGUUUUGUCUCAAAAGGAUUUUAUCCCAGGGGCUAGAUUGAUUUCUCUUCUCAGUAGAUAGAGGCAGACACAAUGUGUGUGUGUGUGUGUGUGUGUGUGUGUGUGUGUGUGUGUGUGUGUGUGUAUGAGAGAGAGACAGAGACAGAGAGACACAGAGAGACAGAGAGAAACAGAGACACAGAGAGAGAGACAGAGACACAGAGACAGAGUAAGAGAUUUAUCAUAAAAGUUGUAGAAUAUAGAAUUUUCUCCAAAUACAGGACUUUAUAACGUUAGACUAGAGAGUAUAAAGAUUUACCUUCUAGUUGUGAGAAAGAGAAAGAGGAAACUAAACAAAACUAAACUUUCCACAAAGUAAGAAGCAGUAAAGGUUAGAGCAGAAGUCUUGGAUUGUUAGAAAAGACAGCGAAGAGAUUGAAGACCUGUAACAGGUUUUGCUGAGAGAAGGAAAGGAGAUUAAUAGUCCUUUUAUCCAUUGUGCUGUAGUCUGACUUGCAGAGGGCUUCAUCAGUAAAGCUAUUGUGGACAAAGAAAAAAAAGCAAACUAAGGUAUCUCUUUUACUGAAAUUCUGCCUUUAACUUGUGUUUCAUCAUUUCCUUCUUUAGAUAGGCUUUCUCCAUGUGUAAGAUGUUUCUGUUAUAACCCUAUGUAUGGCUUCAUAUGUUGCAAGACUGUAGUUUCCAAACUGCAUAAAAUGCAGGAAAAAGUGGGCUGGGGUAGAGUCCUCAAAAAUGUAUAGAGUAAUCAGUUAUGAGUACUAUGAGCAGCAAGACCUUAAAAAUUAAUUAAAUCUCCACCAGCAUUUUCAUGUGCCAUCCAAGCCAGUCCUUAAAAUCCUCCAGACCGUGCUUCUUUAUGAGGGAGAUCUAGGGUUGUUUUUGUUUGUUUGUUUGUUUUAGAUUAUUUGAAUAAAAAAAUUUAAAGUCUGAUCCCAAGUAGAAUGUUUUAUAGGUGGUAUAGUUUUUCAGGAAUAUUCUUUUCCUGACUCAGAUACUGUAUUAGCUAUAUUAAGGGUUUUGGGGUUGUUUUUGCUUUUUGGGUUUUUUUUUGCUUUCUUUAGUAGAGGGAAAUAAAAAAAACGAAACCUUAAUACUUGACUUUCAGCUUCUGGGUGACUGUGUUUUGGUCACCUGCCUGGGAUCAGGUCUAAACUCACACCUUAGACUGACUUAGCAACAUUGAGAACACAUAGAAAGGUCUUACAUUGAGCUGCACCGUGUUGCUUGCUUUAAUAAUUACUAUUACGGGUAGUUACUUCCCCUUUAGAAAUGUUAUUUUGGUUCAUAGUUUAGUUUAUGUGGCUAUCUAGAAAAGAAGGAGUGAAUUUCUGAGAGGAAUCUGGUAAUACUUGCUUUACCAAAUCUGCAUGUUGUAACUUAAUUAACCUUACCUAGAUUGCAGGUUUUAGCUAAAUAGUGUGUUUACUUGGCAUAGUGUAUCAUUUUGUUUUUAUUUCUCUUGAAAUCUGAUGGUAGCCAAGAUAAAUUCCUGAAUUUUGUCUGACAUUUGAAUACUGAGUUCAAGUAUUCUGUGUCUGGCUGGUGAUACUAUUUCAGGAAGUAGGGGCAGACUGUAUUCUUCAGCUCUUUUGCAUUUUGUGAUUUAGAAAGAAGAGUUGAAGAAAGCCAGAGCUGAGAGCAUCCCUUGCUCCUGAAAGGCAAGGACAAUAAUUUUAAGCGGCCGUUAAUCUUUAUUGGGUCUGGAUUCUUUUAGACUUCUCCUCAAACUAUGUGCUAGCGUUUUGACCAGACAGUUUUGUUUGUUUGUUCAUUUGCUUGAGAUGUAAUCUCACUGUGUUACCCUGGCUGACCUGGAACUCACUGGGUAGACUAAGCUGGCCUUGAACCCACAGAAAUCUGUUGAUCUUUGCCUCCCAAGUGCUGAAAGGCAUGCAUCACCAUGCCUGGCUUUAAUUAGUAAUUUUUAAAGUAUUUAUUAAGAUUCAGUGAUAACUAGUGUGGUUGGAGAAAACUUAACAUUGAUAUUUUUGCUGUAGUAGGCUAAUGUCGAUCCUUUGAGGAUAUAAGUAGCAGGGAAAUAGAGAGCUAAGUAUGGUGUAGCACUCCUGUAAUCUUGGCAUUUGAGAGGCUGAGACCUUAGGAUCAGAAGUUUGAAGACAGCUUUGACUACAAAGGAUUUUGAGACCAGAUUGGGCUACAGGAGACCUUGUCUUAAAAACAAAACAAAAAGCAAUAAAAAGGCACAGCACUUAUAUGGAUGGCCUUAGUUUAUCAUUGAGUAGACACGUCUUUCUGCAGCCUCACAUACCUUAUAGAAAGAACGCUUUUCACGUAAGUCAGAAUUUCACAAGAUGUUCUUAACCGGAUAUUCGAACACCUUGUUGUGUGGGUUUUCUAGUUUUUAGAGUGUGUGGAAAUAAGAGUCUUGCUCUCAAAUGCACGUAGUUCAAAGCAGCCGCAUGCCUGUUUGGGAGGCAGGAGGAUGAACCAGCAGUACGCCUGCUACUGUCUUAAAAGCACAUUCUCUUCAACAUGCAAAGUUGUUUUGGUUUUGUUCUUAAGGAGUAAGUGUAGUCACAGACAGAGCUGCUCGUGCAGCAGCUAUGUGGUCUGCGAUUUAUAACCCCUUCAGCACCCUACGAUUUCCAAGAACAGUUUGCCCAUGUGAAGUUACUCUUUAUCUCAUUUUCCUAGAAGAAAAGUUGAAGUGACUCUAACAUUGAAAAAAAAAACAAAACUAACCAACCAAAUUAAACCAAUAAAGCAAACCUUCAUGACAAAAGACUUGAAUAGUUAUCAUUUCAUGGUAAAGGAUAUGUGUAUUUGAGUUUCUGAAUAACCUCUUCUUUUGAAAAUGCUUCCUGAUUAAAACCUGAUGAGAGCAGCAAAGGAGGCAUUUCGGGCACUGGAGGACUAUGCACCUCGUGAGAUUUGCAGACUUCAUCAAUACGUGUAACUGACUUAUAACUGCAUUUGGUGUUAACACAUUUCAAAGCGGACCUAACAGGCACAGUAAGAGUAGACUAAAACGCUAAGGUGAAAGGGUUAAUUAGCCGUGCACAUUCAAUUUGCCACUGUAGUGGCCCUUUCUGUUGUCUGUGUCAACAGAGUUGCUAAGUACUUUCCCACUAAGCGGCCACUCUUAUUUAUACAGUUGAGCCACCAAUGAGAGUGGGUCAGUUUCCCAGUUGUUAAGCCAUUUCUUCCUGCCUUUUCAGACCACUGAAUGCUUCCUUACGACAGCUGUUGCUACACACCUCCCUGAUCUUUCCUUAGUCACAUGGCUUUCUGUCUUUUUUACCAGUGUCUCUCUUACUCUUAUUGGUUGGUAUGAGCAUGUGGACAUACAUACUUGGUUCAACUACUCUUUAUUUCCUUCUCACUCUGCUACCUUUUACAAAUCAUACCUCAAAAAUUAGUUCAACCUUUCAAUGUUUCUUUGAAAGUCACAUUUAAAACAACUUAGAAAUUAAAACAUGACUCUAUAGAUAAAAGAACUAUUUAUCCAGUCUUUUUUUUUUUUUUCUUUUCUAUUUUUCGGAGCUGGGGACCGAACCCAGGGCCUUGCAAGCGCUCUACCAUUGAGCUAAAUCCCCAACCCCUAUUUAUCCAGUCUUUAAUCCAGUACUCUACCAUACUAUAAGUUAUAUUGAAACAGUUGAAACAUGUACUUCCAGACUAUUCUUUUCAUUACCAAAUCUAUGUACAUAUUCAUAACUAUAACGUUGCUGGGAAUUUAUAUAAAUGUUGGUUUUGAGAUAUGCUUGCCUGCUUAUCCUCCUCCUGGUCUUUUCUCUCUCUUCUCUACGCAACCUGGUAAGUCAAAACCCACCUACCUCUACUCCCUCCAGUAAUUGGCUGUAGUCAAUUCUAUUUAACAGUAGUUUUAAAUCAAGAAGGUUUGCACAACAAAAGCUUGUAGACAUGGCAAGUCACUUGUAGAUCUAGACGUUCCCAGCAUUAGAAUACAUAGCAACAGACCAAACUUCAACAAUUCCCUUCUUUUUUCUUUUUUUGUCUAAAUAAAAAGGCCUUUUCUUCUAUAGUAAUAAACAGCAUACCCUAGAAACAAUUCUGAAAUUAUUAUGGAAAUUAUUAGGUAAAAGUUACAUUCAGAAAGUCUAGUCUGUUUAUUUGUCAACUUAGGAGAAAGUAUCAUCUAUCCUGUCCUGGUGAGUUCAGAGUUCUGAUUUAAAUCAAUUUCUAUCCUAACUCUGAUUACCAGCCCAAAAUUACCUUCUUAGACCUAGAACAUCCUUUUAAAUCCCAAACAACUGAAUUUAAGCUUAUAGUAAGACUAUGACUAUCUAGUCAAAGACUUUAGAAGGAGAUAAACAAUAGCUGAACAUGCAGAAAGCACAAAGACACAGCUUCCAAAAAUAUAGAAAUGACAGAGACAGUGACCUCCUAGACAGUCCCCAAAAUUCCGUGUAAUGCUGGAGUGUCUGUCUUCAGCCUUCUGGCCCAGAAUAUCUGACAGACCUUCUAUGAAGCAGGAAUUAUGCAGGACUUGCUUACUUUGUCUUGGCAAAACUUGACAGUCAACCUCCCUGUUUGUCCUUUUCUGGGCAGCAUUCUGUCUGUAGAUAAAGUUAGGAUAUUUUCUCGCCCAGUGUAUUGUGUAAAAUAUAAAAAAAGGCACUAUCCCACGCUAACACUGACUGCUCUCUGGCCCCGGUGGUCUUGCUGCCUCCAUGGCUAGCCCCACGCAGCCUGUCUUGUGGUUCUUUUGCUGUGGAUUCUGCCCACAUUACCGGCUGUCCGCCUCCUGUGGUCACAAAUCCCCGCAACCCAGUAAAACCAAAACUCUCGAGGCUUGUACUUUAUCAGUCAGAUUUAUAUCAGCAAAUCCUCACUCCACAAAACAUCCAUACCACGAACUCAGAGCCAAUUGAUAUAAACUGCCCAUCUAGAUACGACAAAUUGUCCUGUAAUUAUCCAUCCCUUCUAAGAUAUUCAUAGCUACCUGUGGCUAUUUAAAGCCACCUGUAAUCUGGAUCAUCUUUCUGUGCCUCCAUCUUCCUUCCUUCUGUCUUUCUGUAUUCCCUGUACAUCUCUAAAAUUCUCAGCCCGUUUUCCUGUUCAAAACACUGUUCAAUUAUAGCUCUCACCUUAUUUGGGGCUAGCUUGCCACAACUGAAGCAAUCCCAUGUUGAGGCCUUUGAUGCUCAUCAUCUUCUUCCAAUGGGUGCUGCCAGGAGCUGACAUGCCUCAAUACCAAAAGGGCCUCGAAUACUACAAUCAUCUUUAAAUGCCAUAUUCUGAGAUAUGCAUUUCUGAAAUUUUUGAAGACCCUCCAUGUACUCUGAACAGGCAGUGUUGCCUGUCUCCAGCUACCUAUUAUCUGUAUAACCCAGGAUGCAUAUUUUUGUGAUAAUCCAGAUGAGACCAUGUAUCAGAUAAGACCAUGGAUUUAUUGCCUGACUGUUAACUUGCAUUACUUAAUUAUCCUAAAUAGUUAGUAAUAGCAGCUAUUAAAAGGAUAUGGAUUAAACCUUGUAUUUUUAAAUGAGUUGCAUAGGCACAAUGCCCAUUUAAGAGUUAAAACAUACAUAUAACAAAAUUAAUCUUAAAUUUUGUAUCAAUAUAAAAAGAUUUCAUUGUCAUAGGCCAAUGAAAACCUUAAACCUAUAGCAAUAUGUAAAAUUCUAUACCAGUGUAAUAAAAUAUAACCUUAUUUUUGUAUUAAUUUACAAAAUUCUGAACCAAUGUAAUGAAAAUGUCCUGGAAGCAAGUCUUUAGAGGAAACACUUCCAGAGCAGUUGAGGUAGGGAGGAUCAAGCUGGGAGCUGGAAAGCAAUUAUCAGCAUCUCAGCAUGCCUGAGGGUGACUUCUGGCAGGGCUGCCUCAGUAAUUGGCUGUAUCCAAUUUUAUUUAACCAAUAAUUUAAAUCAAGGAACAAGGUUUGCACAACAAAAGUUUGUAAAUGGGAGAAAUCACUCGUAGUUGUAGACCUUUAGUACAGAAUUUGGCAUUACAGUAUAUAGCAACAGACCAAAAUUCAACAUGUCAGAGCCAACUUUCAGUGUGGCUACACUAGUUGACACUUCUAGUAUUCUAAUUAGAAUUUAAUAUUGUAGUCAGAUCUUUGCUUCUUCCAUAUGUAUGAGAGUAAAAAAAGAGCCCAUCUUAUUUCAUUUUAACUAGUGAGAUUAAACAUAACUGAUUUUUUUAAUUAAGUCUUAGUUGGUAGGCUUUCUUGAUAGUCAUAGUAAAACUAGAGAGACCUUUUUCUUUUUUAGAGAUUAAUGAUUACUAAAGAUAAUUUUGUUAGCAGCACUACAUUAUAUUAAAUCAGGUUUAUCUCAAAUUUAUUUUGAAAUGAAAUAUUUUUAAUAUGAACAAACUUGGAUAUAUAUAGCAUUCGAAGAAUUGAUAUCUUUCAAUAUAAGAAUGUAUUGAUAACCGAACUCUAUUACAUCCGUUUCAUUUAUUGUAGAAGGGAAGACUCCUGUUGACUUACUGUUGCUUUCAGACUGGUUUCCCUGAUCACUCUUCAUUCUUGUUUCAGGUGGCCACUCUCAGUGUUAAUGUUGGUAUCAGAGAGAUCUGAACCUUCCAGCUUCAGUCAGUGUGUGUGCUACAUUUGUUUUUGGAAUCAUAGAAAUUUAACUUGCUGAGGGAAGAUGGUUCAAAUGCUAAAAGCAUAAAAUUUCUUCUUUGAUUGGAGGGUUUUGUUUAGUUUUUAACAAAAUUCAGAUUUAUCGUAUACAUCCAGUAGCAGUAGCCUUGUUAAUGAGUUAAUUGUGUACGAAUAUGUCCUAUAUAUACUAAUUUCAUUUGGGGGGCUUCUUUAUUAUUUGAUAAAUUAAUAGUUUUAGUAUUGGCUUAUAAAAUUAUAAGUAAAGUUGGGAACUGACUUAAAAAAUGGUGUCACAGUUAAGAACCUGUUAGCCUUUUUAUUUUUAUAAAAGUCGGGCUUUUUAUUGGACAGUAUCAUGCCAUUUAAGUGUCCUAGUUGUUUUCUGUUUUCAAAGGAAAAUUACUCUAUGUUCAGUUUCUUGAUACAACAUAUAUGAAAUAUAUGAACAGGUGCUCUCCAGUAACAAUUAGGGUAGAGGUAGUUUUAGAUGAAAACAGUGGGCGAUCUAUCAGUCCAUUCUAUGAAGACUGUGGCUUUGGCCUUCUGAUUAUUUAAGGCAGGUAACCACUUAUGUUUGACAAGCAGAAAUUAUUUCUAAGACUGACUUAAUAGUAAUUCCUCUUUGAAAACAGGCCAGCAGAUUAGGUAAAAUAUCAUUUGUAGGAUUUAUUUGAAAGGUCCAUUUUUUUUCUCAUUUAAAUUAAUUUCAUGCUCAAACUUCAUUCAAAUCUACACUUGCCUUCAAAUAUGUUUAAAGUGCUGCUUAAUUUUAAUAACAAAGUUAAAUUAGUGCAUUUCUCUUAGAUUUAAAUACUUUCUCUUUAAUAGAAAAUUCAGAGUAAUACUUAAUAAAGCUUACGCUGCUUAUUUCUGAUUAUUUUUUCUCUUAGUUUCUGUAUAUAAAGGAAUACUUGAAGCGUACUCUAAAUGCUAGCAUGGUUUCCAGGUUGUUUGUAAAUUGCUUGCAUUGGUAAUUAAGAAUAACCAUUUAGAAAAUUUUAUACCAAUUUGGCAGAAUAAUUUUAUCACUAUUGAAUUUAAUAAUGAUAAAAUUGGAAUUAUAUUUUAUUUAUCUUUUAAACUUUCAUUUACGUGUAUUGGCGUUUUAUCAGGAACUUGGAAAAAGGGAUUUGUCAGGAAAAUUGGUGAGAAAAAAAUCAUGGGAGAAGUAUGUGGAUAGAACUUUGCAAAUGGGUAAAAGAUGUGAAGAUACUUAAUGUCUGAUGUGAAUGCUCAUCAGAAGGUGACUUCAUCAGAGGAAUUCAGUAGUCAAGUAAUAGGAUGACUCAUUCUGGGAAUAGUCAGCUUCCUUACCCAGUCAUCUCUGUCAUUGCCCAGUGAGCCAUGAUCAAAGUGGCCAUGGCAGCAGAGAUGGGGGUUAUACAUGGCCUUGAAAACAUGGGCUUCCAAGGCUGACCUACUAUAGCUUUGCUGCAGAGUGCCAGGUCUGCCAACAGCAGAGACCAACACUGAGUCCCAGAUAUGGCACCAUUCCUUGAGAUAAUCACCCAGUGACUUGGUGGCAGGUUGACAUUGGACCACCUCCUCUGUGGGAAGGACAAUGCUUUGUCCUUACUGAUACUCUGGUUAUGAAUUUUCCUUUCCUGUUUGUAAUGCUUCUUACAAAACCACCAUCCAUGGACUUCCAGAAUGCCAUAUUCACUGUAGGGUAUUGUACACAGAAUUGCUUCUGACUAAGAAACUCACUUCAUAGCCAGCAAAGAAUAACAGUGGACUCAUGAUCACUGAAUACACUGGUCUUAAUCAUGUUCCCUCACCUCCUGAAGUAGCUGCCCUGACAGGAAGAUGGAAUGGCCUUUUGAAGACACAGUUAUAGCACUAGUGAAGUGGAAACUUAAGGGUUCUUUGGAAAGAUCAGUUGGAUGGUGUUUGGUUGGGGCAAACAUGGGAAGGAAAGACUAAGGCAGGUGCCUGAAGCAGACACAGGAGAGUGGAUGUUCUGUUAAAGCAAGCAUAUGAAAGGACACAGAAUGAAAGAUUCUUUGCUAAUGACACACAUGUAUUGGGCUGCCUUACAUUGCAUAAUUGAGCUGCAUUUGUCAGAACUCCAUAGAGAGAAAUGCACCAAAAACCUUCUGGUGCUGUGCUGCAGUUUAUUGCCGCUUACAAGGACUCGGGCAGAUUGGAUGCACGUGCUGAGGUAAGAGCUGUGCUGAGGCAAGGCACGUGGAGGACACAUGAUGUUUACAGGGCAUAAAUAGGACUCCAUAGAGUAACAGAGACAGAUCUUGGUUUGCUGGUACAAGUAGCUGUGCAACACUUGUGGGUCUCGAGUCUUCACUAAUCUUUGAUUCCCUGAGAGAGGCACAGCAGGGAACUUCUUCUGGUGCUCCUGUUGGUACCUCCUGCUGACUCAAGCCAAGGCUGAGACCUGGCUGUCUCUGCUAGGUUGUGUCACCACUGUUGCUAUCCCCACUCUAUAGAAUUGGACUGCCGGUUUAUCUGUGAGGUGUUUGUGAGUGGAUCGAGCUGCUGCUGCCUGCUGAUCUAUGAACUGAACUGCUGAUUUCCCGACAACACAGAUGGGAGUUGCUCCAAAGAACCUUUCUAAACAGGUCCACUUCCCCCCUCCCCAUAUCCUUUCCUUUCCAUUACCUCUGGUGGGUGGUGGGCUACAAGGAAGGUUAAAACGUUUAAGAACCAUCAUUACAAAUAGGAUUUGAAAAUUUUUAAAUUACACACUAGUUAUGUGGCUGCAGCCUGGAGGGCUCUCCAGAAGGCUGUAUAUACUUUGAAUCAGCACCCAAUAUAGGGUAUGGUUUCUCCCAUAGCCAUGAACCUUGAGUUCAGGACUCAAGUGGUGGAUUUCACUGUCACCCCUAAGGAACUCACUAGGAAAACUUUUGCUUCCUGUUCUAAUAACCUUAAGUUCUGUUGGCCUAGAAGUUUUGGUACAGAGAGGAGAGCACACAUGCCAAGAACCACGGCAAACACUCCACUGAACUGGGAACCUCCCCCUGGCCACUGUGGCCUUUGAGGCCCAUAAGCUGGCAGGCUAGAAAAGAAUCAGCAGUGUUAGGAAGGGUGAUCUAGAUUAACAAGGGGAAUUGAAUGGCUGCUUCACAAUGGCUGUAAGAAAAAUUAUAUCUGGAAUGUGGGUGGUGAUUGAUCCUUUAGGGCAGUGGUUCUCAACCUGUGUGUUACAACUCCUUUGGGGCCUGAAUGACCUGUUCACAAGAGUUGAAUAUCAGAUAUCUUUCAUACCAGCUAUUUAUGUAAUGAUUCAUUCAGUAGCAAAUUUAUAGUUGUGAAGUAGCAAUGAAAAUAAUUUUAUGGUUGUUGUCACCACAACAUAAGGAACUCUUAUUAAACUAUAUUAAAGGAUUGCAGUGUUAGAAGGUUGAGAACACCUCUUUAGGACCUCUUUUGCUGUUACCAUGUCUUUUGAUAAAGUCAGUGGGAAACUAUAGUCACCAAAUCCAGGCAGAAUGACAAAGAGAUGAAGUAUGGGUUAUUCUUCCAGGAAAAGACCCGAGACCUGCUGAGGAGCUUGCUGAGGGUGGAGGACAAGCAGAAUAGGUAGUAGAGGAGGGAGUUUUACACACACACACCAACCAAGGCCACAGAAGCAGUUGCAGAAACAAGGACUAUAAUUGACAUGAGCAUUUCUGUUGGAUUUUGUUAAGAAUGUGUUUGUACAGACAAGUGUGUUUUCUUGUAUUGAUUUCUUUAUCAUGUAACAUCAAUAAAGAGAAUAUCAGUGAUCAUCAUAUUUAAGUUUGAGAUAUUGUAAGAAUGUCCCUUAAGGGAUAUUGCCACCUAUUCUAAAAUUUAUAACUUGUUUGCGGUUAUGUGAGGGAUAGUUACAUCAUGUCAGGUGUGAUUAUGGUCUGGUUAAAUAUAUAAUGCAUUUGCAGUCAUACAUGGGAGAGUUGUAUCAUGCAAAGCUUAAUAAUGACCUGGCUAUUGUUUUCAUUUGGAAAUUAGGCACGAAAUAAGGAGGUCUGAGCACGUGUCAAGUUGUGAUGGCUGUUCUUGGUUGUCAGCUUGACUACACUGAAAUUAACUAAAAGCCAAGCAGUUGUGAGGGAGAUGGUUUUUUUUCCCUCCUUAAUUAAACCAUUUUAGUUGGGAAGACCCACUUUUAAUAUUUUGAGGUGGUAAAAUCAACUUUUAAUCUAGGUUUCAUCUUCUAUGGCAGCCUAUCCAGAGGACCUGGGAGAAGGAAGCUUGCUCUCUCUUUGCCUGCUUGCUUUCACUGGCACGUCCGUCCACUCCCUCCUCACUGGCACGUCCACUCCCUCCUCACUGGCACGUCCAGAGCUUACUUCUUUUGGAUUCCAGUGUGUGCUGAGAUAUACAGUCUGUGGACUAAGCAGUUACUGGAUUCUUGUACUUGCCCUUGAUAUAUAGCCAUUAUUGGACUAGCCAGACCAUAGCCUGUAAGCCACUGUAAUAAACUCCUUUUAUAUAUUUAUUCAUUCUGUAAGUUCUUUCCUUCUAGAGAACCAUGUGUAAUACAGAAUUAAAAUCAAACUAUCAAGUUUUAUAAUGUGUUGUAGUGGUACAAUUUUAUAUUAUCAACUGUACUGUAAUAAAAAUGGGAGUUUAGAAGCUAUAUUUAUAUAAGUUAGUAUGAUAUAAAAUAUAAAAAAGACAAAUUAGAGUAUGAUGGGGACUCUAAAAUAUUGUGUAACUCCAUAUUCUAUUGUAAUUCAUUUUUGAAAAUAAAUCUUUGGUAUGCCAACUGUAGAUAAAGAAUCUGAUAAGGAAGAAAAUGUGUCAAGAUCAGCAGCUCAUUAUGGAAGGAUAAGAACAAAUACAUGAGCAGGAUUGCAGACACUUUCUAGCCUCAUAAGUUUCAGAUCUUUCACUUUUAAAAUGUCUGUUAUUCUCUCCUGUAACAGAAUUUCCUGUCUCUGUCCCUUCUCUAGUUCUAAUGCUGUGUCUGCACUUUUAGUUAAAAUCUUAUAUACCUAUAACUUUUAUUUUUUGCUGACCUUCUUUAAACAACCUAGUAAAAGAGUAAAAAUAAAACCUAUGGAUUUGUUAUUUUAACUUCUAGAAUGAUAAUAUUUAAAAGGCAGCAAUGAAUCAGUUUAGCUAACUCAUAGAAAUGACUAUUUUAUGUGCUAAUAUAAUAUUAACAUAACUUUGAAAUAUAUUUUUGUUUCUUUCAUACGAUAAAAUGUUGUUCACAGAAUUUAGAAAGAUCAAAAUGAUGAAAAGUGAAAAAUCCUAAUGAAAAAUAAAUUAAUUUGCUGAAAAUUAUAAUUAUAAUGGUCACUUAAAUAUCCAUAGUAAUUUUAACUAUCAUCUUUACCUUUAUAAAAAUUAUACAAGAUUUCAGAUAUGAAUCAGGAACUUAGUAAAAUAUUACAGUGAAAAAAUUCAGGGAAAUGCCAAAACUGUGAUAUGGGUUAAUUAGUGUCAGAAUCCUGUACAUUUCUUUGCCACAGAGGGGUCACAAUUUUCUUUUCUUUCUCUUUCUUUCUUUCUUUCUUUCUUUCUUUCUUUCUUUCUUUCUUUCUUUCUUUCUUUCUUUUUUUAAUAGUAUAGAAUAGUUUAUUCGGGGCAUGGGGAGGGGAGUUGAGGGAGUAGAGACAGAGAAAGGCAGAGAGGGGUGGGGCAGGGGAAGGGAGAGAGACACAGAGAGAGUAGAAGAGUAGAGGCCAGCCAUGAGCACAUGGAGAGAGAGGAGGGAGGGUAAUGGGAAGAGAGGGGGAGCGGGACAAGAGGACACACACACACACACACACACACACACACACACACACACACAGGGGGUGGGGACAAAAGCCACAAUUUUCUUUUUAAGGUUAGAAUCCUUGUUCAUUACAGGCCAAUUGUAGGGCAUCCCCACUAUUUUAAAGCCCUUUGUUCCAUUUGUAGUUAAUUCCUACUUCAACAUCUAAUCCCAGUAGCAUUGGUUUAAUUUCUAUAUCUUUAGUUUCACCUUUUGAAAAGAAAUGUCCUAUACAUUUUGUGCUUAGAAUUUUUUAAAAACUGGGUCUGGCUCUUUUUUUUUUUUUUUUAAGUACAACUGUUUCUCUCUCUCUCCCUCUCUCCCUCCCUCCCUCCCUCCCUCCCUCCCUUCCUUCCUUCCUUCCUUCCUUCCUUCCUUAAUUGGAUGUUUUUAAUUUACAUUUCAAAUGUUAUUCCCUUUCCCAGUUUCUCAGACAUGAGCCCCCCUAUCCUAUCCUUUCCUAUCCUAACCUAUCCUAUCCUAUCCCCCUUACCUUCUUCUAUAAAGGUAUUCCCCUCCCCAUCCAACCCCCCUUUCCACUCCCCCACUCCCGACAUUCCUCUACACUGGGGGUCUAACAUUGGCAGGACCAAGGACUUCUCCUUCCAUUGGUGCCCAACAAGGCUAUUCUCUGCUACCUAUGCAGUUGGAGCAUGGUCAGUCCAUGUGUAUUCUUUGGGUAGUGGUUUAGUCCCUGGGAGCUCUGGUUGAUUGGCAUUGUUGUUCUUAUGGGGUUGCAAGCUCCUUCACCUCUUUCAAUAGUUCUUCUAAUUCCCCCCAAAGGGAUCCUGUUCUCAGUUUGGUGGUUUGCUGCUAGCAUUGACCUCUGUAUUGGACAUGCUCUGGCUGUGUCUCUCAGGAGACAUCUAUAUCCGGUUCCUGUCAGCAUUCACUUCAUAAAUUCAGCAAUAUUAUCUAGUUUUGGUGGCUGUAAAUAUAUGGGCCACAUGAGGGGCAGGCCCUGAAUGGCUGUUCCUUCAGUUUCUGCUCCAAAGUUUGCCUCCAUAUCCCCUCCUAUAGAUAUUUUUGUUCCCCCUUUUAAGAAGGAGUGAAGCAUCUGCAUUUUGGUCAUCCUUCUUGAGCUUCAUGUGGUCUGUGGAUUGUAUCUUGGGUAAUUUGAGCUUUUGGGCUAAUAUCCACUUAUCAGUGAGUGCAUACCAUGUAUGUUUUUCUGUGAUCAGGUUACCUCACUCAGGGUGAUAUUUUCUUUUGUUUUGUUUUUGUUUUUGUUUUUUUUUUUUUGGUUCUUUUUUUCGGAGCUGGGGACCAAACCCAGGGCCUUGCGCUUCCUAGGCAAGCGCUCUACCACUGAGCUAAAUCCCCAACCCCAAUAUUUUCUAGUUCAAACCAUUUGCCUAUGAAUUUCAUGAAGUCAUUGUUUUUGAUAGCUGAGUAGUCCUCCAUUGUGUAGAUGUACCACGUUUUCUGUAUCCAUUCCUCUGUUGAAGGGCAUGUGGAUUCUUUCCAGCUUCUGGCUAUUAUAAAUAAGGCUGCUAUGAGCAUAGUGGAGUGUGUGUCUUUGUUGUAUGUUGGAGCAUCUUUUGGGUAUAUACCCAGGAGAGGUAUAGCUGGGUUCUCAGGUAGUACAAUGUUGAAUUUUCUGAGGAACCUCCAGACUGAUUUGCAGAGUGAUUGUACCAGUUUGCAAUCCCACCAACAAUGGAGGAGUGUUCCUCUUUCUCCAUAUCCUUACCAGCAUCUUUUUUCACCUGAGGUUUUGAUCGUAGCCAUUCUGACUGAUGUGAGGUAGAAUCUCAGGGUUGUUUUGACUUGUAUUUCCCUGAUGACUAAGGAUGUUGAACAUUUCUUUAAGUACUUCUCAGCCAUUCGACAUUCCUCAGCUGAGAAUUCUUUGUUUAGCUCUGCACUCCAUUUUUUAAUAGGGCUAUUUGGCUCUCUGGAGUCUUAACUUCUUGAGUUCUUUGUAUAUUUUGGAUACAAGCCCUUUAUCAGUUGUAGGAUUGGUAAAAAUCUUUUCCCAAUCUGUUGGUUGCCAUUUUUCUUAAUGACAGUGUCCUUUGCCUUACGGAAGCUUUGUAGUUUUAUGAGGUCCCAAUUGUCGAUUCUAGAUCUUAGAGCAUAAGAAUGUAUACAGCUGUCCAUACAGCUGUCCCUACACCUGUGUGCACACAUAAAUACACACACAUGUCAAGAAAACAGAACCCUCCAAGUUUUUAGAGAGAAAAUUACAUUGGCAACUACCUUUAUUUUAGUGUCCAGUCAUUAAGCAAUCUUUCAGCCUAUUAUUCUUUUCAUCCAUUACAGUGAGUAGGGAAAUUUGACAUAACUUAAAAUGUAUACGAACAGAAGAAAUGCUUUUCAGUACUAAAUAAAACAUAUUAAUGGGGUGGGUAGGAGAGUUAAUGAUGAAGGGCUUCAGGUCCAGCCUACAUGGAUAUAGUUGGCUUUGGACUAAAAAUAGAACUUUAUCUAAUUUUGAAGACAUUUUAAUAAAUGGUAAGUGGGUUUUAUUAGUUGCACAAUAGGCAUAUAUUGGUAUUUAGAAUAAUUUACCUUUCAUUACUUUUUCAUUCUUACUAAUGUUUUGAAGAAACAGCACAGUAUUUAUACAUCAUAGCCAAGGAGAAUCACAAAUUGUACAGUUAUAAGUCUUUGGAGAAAGACAAAGCAGAAGAGGGGUGAAGAAUGUUGGCAGAAGUGUGUAGUUUCAGAUAGAGUACAUGGGGAUGCUCACUGAGCAAACCCAGGAAGGGCAGAAUGUGAGUCAUAGCAGUAAGAGAGCAGGCCAUUUCAGGAAAAAGAAUCUACAAGUGUGUGCUCAAGGGACAUCAUGGAGGAGGUGUAAGUGGAAAAAAAAGAAGAAGAAAAACAGUUGCAGGUGAGUUCUCAGACAGUGAGACAUCUGGUCCCUACAACUUUGUAGGGCAUCUUGAUGUGAUUGUAAGGAUACUGUGCCUUCAGAGUGUGUGUGUGUGUGUGUGUGUGUGUGUGUGUGUCUGUCUGUCUGUCUGUCUGUCUGUGUCUUUGUAUGUAUAUGUGACUGUGUAGUUGGUACAGGAGAUUAAACCUAGGGCCUUCGACAUUGCUAGGCAGGUGGUUACUACUAUUUCAUAUCUAGUUUUCCUUCCCAACUUAGUUUAAGUGUAUCAGUGUUUCCUUCCCGACUUAGUUUAAGUGUAUCAGUGUUUCCUUCCCGACUUAGUCUAAGUGUAUCAGUGUUUCCUUCCCGACUUAGUUUAAGUGUAUCAGUGUUUUGCCUGUGUGCCACCUGCAUGCAGUACUGUGGAGGCCUUAAGAUGUCAAAUCCCCAUGGACUGAAAAGGUCUGCGAGAGCAGCAAAUGCAUAGGCACAAUGCCUAUCUAAGAGUUGAAACAUAAACUAUAUAAUGUGGUAACAAAGUUAAUCUUAAAUUUUGUAUCAAUAUACAAAAUUUUCUAUCAAUGUAAGGAAAUAAUUUCAAUUCUGCAUCAAAAUAUAAAGAUUUCUAUCAAUAUAAAAUUAUGGCUAUAAAAUGUUUUUAUUUAAGAGUAGAUUCAGUAAUCUACCCUUAUUUGUCUGAUUUUUUUAUAAUAUUUCUAUAUCUCCCCCUUUUUCUUAACCCCCUUUCCCUUACUUAAAGAAGGAUAGAAAAGAGGAAAGGAAGUCUAACUUUCCUAUUUCAUUUCCUCACUGUCCAAGACCAUAACCAUUUGUAAAUCAUCCCCUAAAAUGACAACUCAUCUAUAACUCAUAAAAUGGCCAAGCUAUCUAUCCUACCUUAGGGGACUAGGGUGGGGUAAAGAAUUCCCUUUUGGGGGCCCAAAAGGAAAUAGGAAAAUGUUUUGUCAAAAGAAAGCUAGUUGGCAUCAUUUGCUAUCAGUCUCUCUCUCUUUUUUUUUUUUUUUUUUUUUUUUGGUUCUUUUUUUUUCCGGAGCUGGGGACCGAACCCAGGGCCUUGCACUUCAUAGGCAAGCGCUCUACCACUGAGCUAAAUCCCCAACCCCUGCUGUCAGUCUCUUAUGUGCUGAGAAGUUCAUGGCUUAGCGAGAGUCCUGACUAACAAUCUGAAAGGUUGGAUGAGUGAGCUAGCUGUUUUGAAGAUGUCCUGGAAACAAGUCUUUAGAGGAAACAGCUUCGAUGCAGUUGAGGUAGGAUCAAGCAGGGAGCUGGAACAGCAGGUCCCAGCAUCUCACCAUCCCUGAGGGUGAAUCCUGUCUGUCAGGGUUGUCUUUCCUGGUCUUCCAUUCUGCAAUAUGCAAGCCUUACGAGCAACAUCUAGCUCUGUAAAGACAUUUGUAUGGGAUGGCAGGGUGCACAGAUCAAUUAAGGAAAAUCAAUGAAAAAAGACAACUGUCUCUCUUUAUAGGUUAGUUUGAUUAUGUAAUGAAACUGCAAUAUAAAUUUCUAUUCAUGCCAUCUAAAAGGAUGCAUGUAAUAAUAAGUUGUGAGAAUUUUGUAGCCAAUAAGAUUUACUGGCUGUAUAUAGACAUUUAAAUCUCAGCUGGUGCCAGAGCUGUUUCUGUGUAUAGAGAUCAUUGUAUACAUCACCCACCUUACUGAUCUUGUUAUUCUUCUUCCUGUCCAUAGCUAAGAUUUUCAGUUCUCCCUGUCACGUCUGAUUUUUAUCAUGUUGGAAGGAA